rnacentral:rRNA from 1 species
GAUGAACGCUAGCGGCAGGCUUAACACAUGCAAGUCAGGGGGUAACAUAGAAAAGCUUGCUUUUCUGAUGACGACCGGCGCACGGGUGCGUAACGCGUAUACAACCUACCUUUUAGCGGGGAAUAGCCCAGGGAAACUUGGAUUAAUGCCCCAUAGUAUAUAGACUUCUCCUGAAGUUUAUAUUAAACAUUUAUGGCUAUUAGAUGGGUAUGCGUCCUAUUAGUUAGUUGGUAAGGUAACGGCUUACCAAGGCAGCGAUAGGUAGGGGUCCUGAGAGGGAGAUCCCCACACUGGUACUGAGACACGGACCAGACUCCUACGGGAGGCAGCAGUGAGGAAUAUUGGACAAUGGGCGAGAGCCUGAUCCAGCCAUGCCGCGUGCAGGAAGACUCGCCCUAUGGGUUGUAAACUGUCUUUUACAGAGGAAGAACCCACCCCACGUGUGGGGGUUUGACGGUACUCUGCGAAUAAGGAUCGGCUAACUCCGUG